AAUAAGCGCAUCAAUUUUCGUGUCCAACUUUAAUCGUCCGUCUUAUUUAAUUUUUUUUAUAAUUAGUAUUUCUAUUGUUGUUAAAUUAUAAAAUAUGAGUAAUACUUUAUGCGUGAAUUAUGUUUUUAGUUUUUUUUAAAAAAAAUUAAAUAAGACGACGAUUAAAAUUAGACACAGAAAUUCAUAGUUGCGCUUAUU
rfam:Oryza nivara chromosome 4, whole genome shotgun sequence.